AGAAAUAAAUAUAAAUAGAAGAAAUAAAUAUAAAGAGUAUAAAGAGAGCGAGGGGGCGGAUGUUUAGAAGAAAUAAAUAUAAAGAGUAUAAAGAGUAUAAAGAGAGCGAAGGGGCGGAUGUAGCCAAGUGGAUCAAGGCAGUGGAUUUGUGA
rnacentral:tRNA from 1 species